GUUGAUAUGUGCAGUUAUGGCAGCUCGUUGUCAACAGUUCAGCUAAAGCUAUUUUCUUCAAAAAUUACCAAUGAAUUCGUUGGAGAAAAUGUGGAAGGGGCAUGCAGCCUACUGUCAACUAUUGUGUUGUAAAUCCUGGCAUCCUACUGAAUGUGUCAUCCAAAUGACAGAGGAUUCAUCAUAAUUAUCGACUGAUUCUAUUGGACUUGCUAGAUCACCAACCCCAGCAUGGACCAAUCUCUCAUUCCAUCUUCUAAACCUUGGAUAACUGAUUGGUAGUUAAGUGUGUAAGUUUACUUGUCAUGUCACCAAACUUUCUUUGUUGCAGUCUAAUAUGUAUUUAAAGUAUUGAUCUGCACUGGCGUCUAUAUAAUAGCACAUUGA